CUGCUAUAUCCUAAAUAAAGUUUCUCCUAAAGAUAAAAAAAAAUAUCCUUUGAACUGUGGAAAGGACAUCUUUCUAAGUUUAGUUACUUCCGAGUUUGAGGGUGCUUGGUUAAAGUUGGAAUUCCUAAAUCAAAAAGAGUUAACAUAGGACCUAAAACUGUUGAUACUAUUUUUGUUGACUACUCUUUAGAUAGUAAUGCUUAUGGGUUC
rnacentral:lncRNA from 1 species